rnacentral:sRNA from 1 species
GCCAGGCAUGGUGGCGCAUGCCUAUAAUCCCAGCUACUCGGGAGGCUGAGGCAGGAGAAUUGCCUGAACCUGGGAAGCAGAGGUUGCGGUGAGCUGAGAUCACGCCAUUGCACUCCAGCCUGGGCAACAAGAGCAAAACUUCGUCUCAAAAAAAAAAAAAGGCCCUUUUUUUUGACGUGAAGUCUCACUCUCUCACCCAGGCUGAAGUGCAGUGGCAUGAUCUCGGCUCACUGCAACCUCCACCUCCCAGGUCAAGUGAUUCUCCUGCCUCAG